rnacentral:rRNA from 1 species
UAGGGAAUCUUCGGCAAUGGGGGGAACCCUGACCGAGCAACGCCGCGUGAGUGAAGAAGGUUUUCGGAUCGUAAAGCUCUGUUGUUAAGGAAGAACGAGUGUGAGAAUGGAAAGUUCAUACUGUGACGGUACUUAACCAGAAAGGGACGGCUAACUACGUGCCAGCAGCCGCGGUAAUACGUAGGUCCCGAGCGUUGUCCGGAUUUAUUGGGCGUAAAGCGAGCGCAGGCGGUUAGAUAAGUCUGAAGUUAAAGGCAGUGGCUCAACCAUUGUAGGCUUUGGAAACUGGUUGACUUGAGUGCAGAAGAGGAGAGUGGAAUUCCAUGUGUAGCGGUGAAAUGCGUAGAUAUAUGGAGGAACACCAGUGGCGAAGGCGACUCUCUGGUCUGUAACUGACGCGGAGGUUCGAAAGCGUGGGUAGCAAACAGG